CCUACGGGCGGCUGCAGUGGGGAAUAUUGGACAAUGGGGGCAACCCUGAUCCAGCCAUGCCGCGUGUGUGAAGAAGGCCCUCGGGUUGUAAAGCACUUUCAGUGAGGAAGAACGCCUGGUGGUUAAUACCCAUCAGGAAAGACAUCACUCACAGAAGAAGCACCGGCUAACUCCGUGCCCAGCAGCCGCGGUAAUACGGAGGGUGCGAGCGUUAAUCGGAAUUACUGGGCGUAAAGCGCGCGUAGGUGGCUUGAUAAGCCGGUUGUGAAAGCCCCGGGCUCAACCUGGGAACGGCAUCCGGAACUGGCAAGCUAGAGUGCAGGAGAGGAAGGUAGAAUUCCCGGUGUAGCGGUGAAAUGCGUAGAGAUCGGGAGGAAUACCAGUGGCGAAGGCGGCCUUCUGGACUGACACUGACACUGAGGUGCGAAAGCGUGGGUAGCAAACAGGAUUAGAUACCCUGGUAGUC
rnacentral:rRNA from 1 species